AGUGAACGCUGGCGGUAGGCCUAACACAUGCAAGUCGAACGGCAGCACAGUAAGAGCUUGCUCUUACGGGUGGCGAGUGGCGGACGGGUGAGGAAUACAUCGGAAUCUACUUUUUCGUGGGGGAUAACGUAGGGAAACUUACGCUAAUACCGCAUACGACCUACGGGUGAAAGCAGGGGAUCUUCGGACCUUGCGCGAUUGAAUGAGCCGAUGUCGGAUUAGCUAGUUGGCGGGGUAAAGGCCCACCAAGGCGACGAUCCGUAGCUGGUCUGAGAGGAUGAUCAGCCACACUGGAACUGAGACACGGUCCAGACUCCUACGGGAGGCAGCAGUGGGGAAUAUUGGACAAUGGCCGCAAGCCUGAUCCAGCCAUACCGCGUGGGUGAAGAAGGCCUUCGGGUUGUAAAGCCCUUUUGUUGGGAAAGAAAAGCAGCAGGUUAAUACCCCGCUGUUCUGACGGUACCCAAAGAAUAAGCACCGGCUAACUUCGU
rnacentral:rRNA from 1 species